rnacentral:rRNA from 1 species
GACGAACGCUGGCGGCGUGCUUAACACAUGCAAGUCGAACGGAAAGGCCCUGCUUUUGUGGGGUGCUCGAGUGGCGAACGGGUGAGUAACACGUGAGUAACCUGCCCUUGACUUUGGGAUAACUUCAGGAAACUGGGGCUAAUACCGGAUAGGAGCUCCUGCUGCAUGGUGGGGGUUGGAAAGUUUCGGCGGUUGGGGAUGGACUCGCGGCUUAUCAGCUUGUUGGUGGGGUAGUGGCUUACCAAGGCUUUGACGGGUAGCCGGCCUGAGAGGGUGACCGGCAACAUUGGGACUGAGAUACGGCCCAGACUCCUACGGGAGGCAGCAGUGGGGAAUAUUGCACAAUGGGCGGAAGCCUGAUGCAGCAACGCCGCGUGCGGGAUGACGGCCUGCGGGUUGUAAACCGCUUUCGCCUGUGACGAAGCGUGAGUGACGGUAAUGGGUAAAGAAGCACCGGCUAACUACGUG